GACGAACGCUGGCGGCGUGCCUAAUACAUGCAAGUAGAACGCUGAAGGAGGAGCUUGCUUCUCUGGAUGAGUUGCAAACGGGUGAGUAACGCGUAGGUAACCUGCCUGGUAGCGGGGGAUAACUAUUGGAAACGAUAGCUAAUACCGCAUAAGAGUAGAUGUUGCAUGACAUUUGCUUAAAAGGUGCAAUUGCAUCACUACCAGAUGGACCUGCAUUGUAUUAGCUAGUUGGUGGGGUAACGGCUCACCAAGGCGACGAUACAUAGCCGACCUGAGAGGGUGAUCGGCCACACUGGGACUGAGACACGGCCCAGACUCCUACGGGAGGCAGCAGUAGGGAAUCUUCGGCAAUGGACGGAAGUCUGACCGAGCAACGCCGCGUGAGUGAAGAAGGUUUUCGGAUCGUAAAGCUCUGUUGUAAGAGAAGAACGAGUGUGAGAGUGGAAAGUUCACACUGUGACGGUAUCUUACCAGAAAGGGACGGCUAACUACGUG
rnacentral:rRNA from 1 species